rnacentral:rRNA from 1 species
AAAUAAGGUGAUUCAUAGUAACCGAACGGAUCGCAUUAUAAUUAUCAUUAUUUGAUGAUUGGCGAUAGAUCAUUCAAGUUUCUGACCUAUCAGCUUUCGACGGUAGUGUAUUGGACUACCGUGGCAGUGACGGGUAACGGGGAAUUAGGGUUCGAUUCCGGAGAGGGAGCCUGAGAAACGGCUACCACAUCUAAGGAAGGCAGCAGGCGCGCAAAUUACCCAAUCCUGACUCAGGGAGGUAGUGACAAGAAAUAACAACACUGGAAAUUUGAUUUCUAGUGAUUGGAAUGAUGGGAAUCCAAACCCCUUUCAGAGUAACAAUUGGAGGGCAAGUCUGGUGCCAGCAGCCGCGGUAAUUCCAGCUCCAAUAGCGUAUAUUAAAGUUGUUGCAGUUAAAAAGCUCGUAGUUGGAUGUCUGUUGGAAGCAAUCAUCAGUCCGCCCUAUUUGAUUAGGGUGUGAAUAUGAUGAAUUCCGGCAUAAUUGUCUCCCUAUUAUCAAUAUAUAAGAUGAUCAUUAUUAGAUUCAUUUCUAAUAAUGCGUCUACUAUAUUAUUGGUAGUAUGGGAGAAAUGUUACUUUGAGAAAAUUAGAGUGUUUGAAGCAGGCUUUUGUUGCCUUGAAUACUGCAGCAUGGAAUAACAAUAUAGGAUUUCGGUUCUAUUUUGUUGGUUUUUUUUAGGACUGAAAUAAUGAUUAAUAGGGACAGUUGGGGGCAUUCGUAUUUAACUGUC